rnacentral:lncRNA from 1 species
GGCCAGGGAAAGAAGUCUGGAACAAAGGGAAGACAGAUGACCAUGAUUGACUUCAUUCUUUUACCUCCUGAGAUGGCGAUGGGAUGGGGGACACACAGGAAGAAGCAGGGUCCAUGAGCCUCAGCCCUUGGCUUAGGAGGAGGAGCAGUACAUUUCCACCUACCUUCUCUAAGACAUCUUCCCUUUGCUUAGGCUUACCUGGGGGUGGAGGUACACAGGGAAGGUCAAGCAGGUGUACCAGGGCACCUCCUGGGGAGGGGUCCAGAUGGGGAGGAUGCUGGACAUCCCCAGAAGCCCCAUCCAGGAGAUCUAGCAGAUCCAGGAGCUGUGAGGCCUGGCAGAAGGGACAGAAGGGGCAGGGCUGGGUAUGAAGCUCAGCCCGUCUUCCUACCCCAGAGUUUCUAGCCUUCUCACCUGGGGCUCUGUGGGCACUGGGGCUGCUUCUGAAAGCUGGGCUGCUUCUUUGCUUUCCUUUGCUUCCUCAUCAGCCUGAGGGCCAUCUCGCUCCACAAGAGGCAUUUUUUCCAGGAUGGCAGCCCUGAGAGGAUGGAAUGCAAGUGUGCCUCUGUGUGGUCUCUGGGCCUUUCACAAGAGGCAUCUAGGAUGAGGACUAGGAAUAUGGAGCCCUGGGCACAUGGUGGCUCAGAAGUACCCUUCUGAUUUCCUAAAAUGACAUGUUGUUGCUGAUUUUCAGAUGAACAAGGAGGGUUGGAAGCCAGCUUAGCUUCAAUUAACAGUGGGUGGGAAGCUCUCACCGUGGAUAUGGAAGAACACAGGUGAGGAUGAGGCCCUUGUACCUAGAAAAGGGCAUUUGGGAGAGGGCAGGGGUUUGGGUCCCAUGCUGCAGCACAGUGCUGGACACACCUCAUGUGGUCGUAUUUCCGGAAGAGUGUGUCAUACUCCACAGCCCGCUGCUGCAGCUCCACGUCCAAGCAGCUCCCGUAGAUGGACACCACCUGGCGGAUGCGGCUGGGCCAGUGUAGUAUCACAUGCAGGAUGGUGUCUAUGUGCCA